rnacentral:rRNA from 1 species
UGAGGAAUAUUGGUCAAUGGACGAGAGUCUGAACCAGCCAAGUAGCGUGAAGGAUGAAGGUUCUAUGGAUUGUAAACUUCUUUUAUACGGGAAUAAACGAAUCCACGCGUGGAUUUUUGCAUGUACCGUAUGAAUAAGGAUCGGCUAACUCCGUGCCAGCAGCCGCGGUAAUACGGAGGAUCCGAGCGUUAUCCGGAUUUAUUGGGUUUAAAGGGAGCGUAGAUGGGUUGUUAAGUCAGUUGUGAAAGUUUGCGGCUCAACCGUAAAAUUGCAAUUGAUACUGGCAGUCUUGAGUACAGUUGAGGUAGGCGGAAUUCGUGGUGUAGCGGUGAAAUGCUUAGAUAUCACGAAGAACUCCGAUUGCGAAGGCAGCUUACUAACCUGUAACUGACAUUGAUGCUCGAAAGUGUGGGUAUCAAACA